rnacentral:rRNA from 2 species
UGCGACUUCGGUCAAAUGACUUUUGAACUUAGUGGCGGACGGGUGAGUAACGCGUGAGCAACCUGCCCUCCACAGGGGGAUAACGCACCGAAAGGUGCACUAAUACCGCAUAAGACCACGGCACUGACAUGGUGCGGGGGUCAAAGGAGUAAUCCGGUGGAAGAUGGGCUCGCGUCUGAUUAGCUAGUUGGUGAGGUAACGGCCCACCAAGGCGACGAUCAGUAGCCGACCUGAGAGGGUGAUCGGCCACAUUGGAACUGAGACACGGUCCAAACUCC